rnacentral:rRNA from 1 species
AAUGAACGCUGGCGGCGCGCCUAAUACAUGCAAGUCGAGCGAGAAGACGUAGCAAUACGUUUGUAAAGCGGCGAACGGGUGAGGAAUACACGGGUAACCUACCCUCGAGUGGGGAAUAACUAGCCGAAAGGUUAGCUAAUACCGCGUACGCUCCUUGGACUUCGGUUCAGGGAGGAAAGCGAUACCGUGGGUAUCGCGCUCUUGGUUGGGCUCAUGUCCUAUCAGCUUGUUGGUGAGGUAACGGCUCACCAAGGCUUCGACGGGUAGCUGGUCUGAGAGGACGAUCAGCCACACUGGCAUUGCGACACGGGCCAGACUCCUACGGGAGGCAGCAGUAAGGAAUAUUGCGCAAUGGGCGAAAGCCU